rnacentral:misc_RNA from 1 species
UCCGGCUCAACGCCGGCAGUCUCUCUAGAAAGUUCAUUGGAUGUCAAGGCCUGGUAAGGUUCUUCGCGUUGCUUCGAAUUAAACCACAUGCUCCACCGCUUGUGCGGGCCCCCGUCAAUUCAUUUGAGUUUUAACCUUGCGGCCGUACUCCCCAGGCGGUCAACUUAAUGCGUUAGCUGCGCCACUAAGAGUUCAAGACUCCCAACGGCUAGUUGACAUCGUUUACGGCGUGGACUAC